UUUCAUGUAUGGUGAUAAACAGAAAGAACCCAAUAACUACAAAAGCGAAGUGGAAGCAGGACAUUUUGAACCGUUUUACAAACCUCUCUUUGAACUCUUUUACAAACCUCUUCUUUGAACUCUUUUACGACCUUUUCUGUAAACUGUAUACAACCCUCGUCCCUCCAAACAGCUGUUGACAUGUGGUCGGAGAAAGUCCAAAUAAAGGGGGAGAAGUACAAUCUUUUUGCCGGAGUGUGGGUGACACUGUAAGAGGUUACAGGUUGACACGUUUCUCCUCAAAUUGAGCGAAAUUGAAUUCUGUCUCUGUUUAAUUCUUUGUCUUGUCUUGUUUAAUAGAGGUCAUCAGUGUUUGAAGCUGACAGUGGAGAAUUCCUACAAACACACUCCGCAACCUUGUGGACAGCCUUCCCAGAAGAGUUGAAGCUGUAAUAGCUGCAAAAGGUGGAUCCGACAUCAUAUUUAACCCAAUGGGUUAGGAAUAGGAUGGGAACAUGAAGGUGUUCCUGUUUUCUUUCAUGUAUGGUAAUAAACAAAAAUAUAAUGUUUGACCCAAGAACUACAAAAGCGAAGAGGAAGCAGGGCCGGACUUCCCUCCAUGCGAACUCUUUUAGAAAUGUUUUACAAACCUUUCUUUGAACUCUUUUACAAACCUCUUCUUUGAACUCUUUUACGAACUUUUCUGUGAACUGUAUACAACCCUCGUCUCUUCGAACAGCUGUUGAUAUGUGGUCGGAGAAAGUCCAAAUAAAGGGGGAGAAGUACAAUCUUUUCGUCGGAGUGUGGGUGACACUGGAAGAGCUUACAGGUUGACACGUUUCUCUUCAAAUUGAGCCAAAUUGAAUUCUGUCUCUGUUUAAUUCUUUGCUUCUUGUCUUGUUUAAUAAAGGUCAUCAGUGUUUGAAGCUGACAGUGGAGAAUUCCUAUAAACACACUCCGCAACCUUGUGGACAGCCUUCCCAGAAGAGUUGAAGUUGUAAUAGCUGCAAAAGGUGGACCCGACAUCAUAUUGAACCCAAUGGGUUAGGAAUAGGAUGGCAACAUGAGGGUGUUCCUGUUUUCUUUCAUGUAUGGUAAUAAACAGAAAGAUCAUGUCUGCCCCAAGAACUACAAAAGCGAAGAGGAAGCAGGACCAGACUUCCCUCCAGUCGACCUCUUUUUUAACUGAUUUACAAACCUCUCUUUGAACUCUUUUACGAACUUCUUUGAACUCUUUUACAACAUUUUCUGUAAACUGGAUACAAUCCUCGUCCCUUUAAACAGCUGUUGACAUGUGGUCGGAGAAAGUCCAAAUAAAGGGGGAGAACCACAAUCUUUUUGCCGGAGUGUGGGUGACACUGGAAGAGGUUACAGGUUGACAAGUUUCUCCUCAAAUUGAGCCAAAUUGAAUUCUGUCUCUGUUUAAUUCUUUGUCUUGUCUUUUUUAAUAGAGGGUCAUCAGUGUUUGAAGCUGACAGUGGAGAAUUCCUAUAAACACACUCCGCAACCUUGUGGACAGCCUUCCCAGAAGAGUUGAAGCUGUAAUAGCUGCAAAAGGUGGACCGACAUCAUAUUGAACCCUAUGGGUUACGAAUGGGAUGAGAACAUGAAGGUGUUCCUGUUUUCUUUCAUGUAUGGUGAUAAACAGAAAGAACCCAAUAACUACAAAAGCGAAGUGGAAGCAGGACAUUUUGAACCGUUUUACAAACCUCUCUUUGAACUCUUUUACAAACCUCUUCUUUGAACUCUUUUACGACCUUUUCUGUAAACUGUAUACAACCCUCGUCCCUCCAAACAGCUGUUGACAUGUGGUCGGAGAAAGUCCAAAUAAAGGGGGAGAAGUACAAUCUUUUUGCCGGAGUGUGGGUGACACUGUAAGAGGUUACAGGUCGACACGUUUCUCCUCAAAUUGAGCCAAAUUGAAUUCUGUCUCUGUUUAAUUCUUUGUCUUGUCUUGUUUAAUAGAGGUCAUCAGUGUUUGAAGCUGACAGUGGAGAAUUCCUACAAACACACUCCGCAACCUUGUGGACAGCCUUCCCAGAAGAGUUGAAGCUGUAAUAGCUGCAAAAGGUGGAUCCGACAUCAUAUUUAACCCAAUGGGUUAGGAAUAGGAUGGGAACAUGAAGGUGUUCCUGUUUUCUUUCAUGUAUGGUAAUAAACAAAAAUAUAAUGUUUGACCCAAGAAAUACAAAAGCGAAGAGGAAGCAGGGCCGGACUUCCCUCCAUGCGAACUCUUUUAGAAAUGUUUUACAAACCUCUUCUUUGAACUCUUUUACGAACUUUUCUGUGAACUGUAUACAACCCUCGUCUCUUCGAACAGCUGUUGAUAUGUGGUCGGAGAAAGUCCAAAUAAAGGGGGAGAAGUACAAUCUUUUCGCCGGAGUGUGGGUGACACUGGAAGAGCUUACAGGUUGACACGUUUCUCUUCAAAUUGAGCCAAAUUGAAUUCUGUCUCUGUUUAAUUCUUUGCGUCUUGUCUUGUUUAAUAAAGGUCAUCAGUGUUUGAAGCUGACAGUGGAGAAUUCCUAUAAACACACUCCGCAACCAUGUGGACAGCCUUCCCAGAAGAGUUGAAGUUGUAAUAGCUGCAAAAGGUGGACCCGCAUCAUAUUGAACCCAAUGGGUUAGGAAUAGGAUGGGAACAUGAAGGUGUUCCUGUUUUCUUUCAUGUAUGGUAAUAAACAAAAAUAUAAUGUUUGACCCAAGAAAUACAAAAGCGAAGAGGAAGCAGGGCCGGACUUCCCUCCAUGCGAACUCUUUUAGAAAUGUUUUACAAACCUCUUCUUUGAACUCUUUUACGAACUUUUCUGUGAACUGUAUACAACCCUCGUCUCUUCGAACAGCUGUUGAUAUGUGGUCGGAGAAAGUCCAAAUAAAGGGGGAGAAGUACAAUCUUUUCGCCGGAGUGUGGGUGACACUGGAAGAGCUUACAGGUUGACACGUUUCUCUUCAAAUUGAGCCAAAUUGAAUUCUGUCUCUGUUUAAUUCUUUGCGUCUUGUCUUGUUUAAUAAAGGUCAUCAGUGUUUGAAGCUGACAGUGGAGAAUUCCUAUAAACACACUCCGCAACCAUGUGGACAGCCUUCCCAGAAGAGUUGAAGUUGUAAUAGCUGCAAAAGGUGGACCCGCAUCAUAUUGAACCCAAUGGGUUAGGAAUAGGAUGGCAACAUGAGGGUGUUCCUGUUUUCUUUCAUGUAUGGUAAUAAACAGAAAGAUCAUGUCUGCCCCAAGAACUACAAAAGCGAAGAGGAAGCAGGACCAGACUUCCCUCCAGUCGACCUCUUUUUUAACUGAUUUACAAACCUCUCUUUGAACUCUUUUACGAACCUCUUUGAACUGUUUUACAACAUUUUCUGUAAACUGGAUACAAUCCUCGUCCCUUUAAACAGCUGUUGACAUGUGGUCGGAGAAAGUCCAAAUAAAGGGGGAGAACCACAAUCUUUUUGCCGGAGUGUGGGUGACACUGGAAGAGGUUACAGGUCGAAGCGUUUCUCCUCAAAUUGAGCCAAAUUGAAUUCUGUCUCUGUUUAAUUCUUUGUCUUGUCUUUUUUAAUAGAGGUCAUCAGUGUUUGAAGCUGACAGUGGAGAAUUCCUAUAAACACACUCCGCAACCUUGUGGACAGCCUUCCCAGAAGAGUUGAAGCUGUAAUAGCUGCAAAAGGUGGACCGACAUCAUAUUGAACCCUAUGGGUUACGAAUGGGAUGAGAACAUGAAGGUGUUCCUGUUUUCUUUCAUGUAUGGUGAUAAACAGAAAGAACCAAAUAACUACAAAAGCGAAGUGGAAGCAGGACAUUUUGAACCGUUUUACAAACCUCUCUUUGAACUCUUUUACAAAACUCUUCUUUGAACUCUUUUACGACCUUUUCUGUAAACUGUAUACAACCCUCGUCCCUCCAAACAGCUGUUGACAUGUGGUCGGAGAAAGUCCAAAUAAAGGGGGAGAAGUACAAUCUUUUUGCCGGAGUGUGGGUGACACUGUAAGAGGUUACAGGUCGACACGUUUCUCCUCAAAUUGAGCCAAAUUGAAUUCUGUCUCUGUUUAAUUCUUUGUCUUGUCUUGUUUAAUAGAGGUCAUCAGUGUUUGAAGCUGACAGUGGAGAAUUCCUACAAACACACUCCGCAACCUUGUGGACAGCCUUCCCAGAAGAGUUGAAGCUGUAAUAGCUGCAAAAGGUGUAUCCGACAUCAUGUUUAACCCAAUGGGUUAGGAAUAGGAUGGGAACAUGAAGGUGUUCCUGUUUUCUUUCAUGUAUGGUAAUAAACAAAAAUAUAAUGUUUGACCCAAGAAAUACAAAAGCGAAGAGGAAGCAGGGCCGGACUUCCCUCCAUGCGAACUCUUUUAGAAAUGUUUUACAAACCUCUCUUUGAACUCUUUUACAAACCUCUUCUUUGAACUCUUUUACGAACUUUUCUGUGAACUGUAUACAACCCUCGUCUCUUCGAACAGCUGUUGAUAUGUGGUCGGAGAAAGUCCAAAUAAAGGGGGAGAAGUACAAUCUUUUCGCCGGAGUGUGGGUGACACUGGAAGAGCUUACAGGUUGACACGUUUCUCUUCAAAUUGAGCCAAAUUGAAUUCUGUCUCUGUUUAAUUCUUUGCUUCUUGUCUUGUUUAAUAAAGGUCAUCAGUGUUUGAAGCUGACAGUGGAGAAUUCCUAUAAACACACUCCGCAACCUUGUGGCCAGCCUUCCCAGAAGAGUUGAAGUUGUAAUAGCUGCAAAAGGUGGACCGACAUCAUAUUGAACCCAAUGGGUUAGGAAUAGGAUGGCAACAUGAGGGUGUUCCUGUUUUCUUUCAUGUAUGGUAAUAAACAGAAAGAUCAUGCCUGCUCCAAGAACCACAAAAGCGAAGAGGAAGCAGGACCAGACUUCCCUCCAGUCUACCUCUUUUUUAACUGAUUUACAAACCUCUCUUUGAACUCUUUUACGAACCUCUUUGAACUGUUUUACAACAUUUUCUGUAAACUGGAUACAAUCCUCGUCCCUUUAAACAGCUGUUGACAUGUGGUCGGAGAAAGUCCAAAUAAAGGGGGAGAACCACAAUCUUUUUGCCGGAGUGUGGGUGACACUGGAAGAGGUUACAGGUCGACACGUUUCUCCUCAAAUUGAGCCAAAUUGAAUUCUGUCUCUGUUUAAUUCUUUGUCUUGUCUUUUUUAAUAGAGGUCAUCAGUGUUUGAAGCUGACAGUGGAGAAUUCCUAUAAACACACUCCGCAACCUUGUGGACAGCCUUCCCAGAAGAGUUGAAGCUGUAAUAGCUGCAAAAGGUGGACCGACAUCAUAUUGAACCCUAUGGGUUACGAAUGGGAUGAGAACAUGAAGGUGUUCCUGUUUUCUUUCAUGUAUGGUAAUAAACAAAAAGAUAAUGUUUGACCCAAGAACUACAAACGCGAAGAGGAAGCAGGACCCGACUCCCCUCCAGGCGACCUCUUUUUUAACUGAUUUACGAACCCCUCUUUGAACUCUUUUACGAACUUUUCUUUGAACUCUUUUACGACCUUUUCUGUAAACUGUAUACAAUCCUUGUCCCUUCGAACAGCUGUUGACAUGUGGUCGAAGAAAGUCCAAAUAAAGGGGGAGAACUACAAUCUUUUUGCGGGAGUGUGGGUGACACUGUAAGAGGUUACAGGUCGACAUGUUUCUCUUCAAAUUGAGCCAAAUUGAAUUCUGUCGCUGUUUAAUUAUUUGCGUCUUGUCUUGUUUAAUAGAUGUCAUCGGUGUUUGAAGCUGACUGUGGAGAAUUCCUAUAAACACACGCCGCAACCUUGUGGACAGCCUUCCCAGAAGAGUUGAAGUUGUAAUAGCUGCAAAAGGUGGACCCGACAUCAUAUUGCAACCCAUGGGUUAGGAAUGGGAUGAGAACAUGGUGUUCCUGUUUUCUUACAUGUAUGGUAAUAAAAAAAUAUACGUUUGACCCAAGAACUACAAAAGCAAAGAGGAAGCAGGGCCAGACUCCCCUCCAGUCGACCUCUUUUUUAACUGAUUUACGAACCUUUCUUUGAACUCUUUUACGAACCUCUUCUUUGAACUCUUUUACGACCUUUUUUGUAAACUGUGUACAAUCCUCAUCCCUUCAAACAGUUGUUGAAAUGUGGUCGGAGAAAGUCCAAAUAAAGGGGUAGAACUACAA